GCGUCUCGUCGUUUCGCUUUCCGAUAUUCCUGGCAAAUUAUCAUAAAUGUAAUGCAUUACAAUGCGAAAAAAAUAGAAGUCAAAGGAAUUUGUAACUGGCUGCUACAUCGGAAGGCUCGAUAUAUCUUUAGAAAAUGACGAUAUCUAACAUUUACGGGGUAAAAUCUAUCCAAGUCAGAGAAAAUCGGAUAGCCGCCAUGUUGUCAAUAUUGAUAUCGAUACAAAGGAAAAGCGUGUGUGUGACGCAUACUGUAAAUGCAAACAAGGAAAUUGUGGAACAUGUUCACACACUCUGGCUGUAAAAGUAGACCUGGGAGGAAAAGUGCCCCCGGUGUGGGGCUCGAACUCACAGCCACCAGAACCGCCCGGCACUCUAACCAACUAAUCUGACCGGACAGCUGGUUCUAACCCACACACACUACCCUCCCCCCAUUUACCGGUUAAGGCUGGUGGAGGGUCUCCUGCUAUUUACCGUUGACACCAUUAAAGUAUUCUGAUUGAUGGAGAUAAGGAAGUCCCCUUAUUAUUGUCUUCAACAAGCCUACCGCCACAGGGGACCUAGCAUAAGACCGGAAACCGCCCCCCCCCCCCCACACAUACACAUGAUAUUUGCCAGUCCAGGAAAUGUCAACCGCAAGAGAAAACCAGUGAUGAGAAGUUUUACAAAUAAUCGGAAAGUGUGGUCUUUUGAAGAGAGUUCUUGAAGUUGUUCAGCAUGUUGUUUUGAUGGAUUCUUGGAAGGAUGUACCUCUAUGAUGUUAGCUUCAGUUCUGGAGUAUAACACCAGUUGUUGCAUAUUUAAUAUCAG